UACGUAGGUCCCGAGCGUUGUCCGGAUUUAUUGGGCGUAAAGCGAGCGCAGGUGGUUUAUUAAGUCUGGUGUAAAAGGCAGUGGCUCAACCAUUGUAUGCAUUGGAAACUGGUAGACUUGAGUGCAGGAGAGGAGAGUGGAAUUCCAUGUGUAGCGGUGAAAUGCGUAGAUAUAUGGAGGAACACCGGUGGCGAAAGCGGCUCUCUGGACUGUAACUGACACUGAGGCUCGAGAGCGUGGGUAGCAAACAGG
rnacentral:rRNA from 1 species